rnacentral:rRNA from 1 species
AGUGAACGCUGGCGGUAGGCCUAACACAUGCAAGUCGAGCGGCAGCACAGUAAGAGCUUGCUCUUACGGGUGGCGAGUGGCGGACGGGUGAGGAAUAUAUCGGAAUCUACUUUUUCGUGGGGGAUAACGUAGGGAAACUUACGCUAAUACCGCAUACGACCUACGGGUGAAAGCAGGGGAUCUUCGGACCUUGCGCGAUUGAAUGAGCCGAUGUCGGAUUAGCUAGUUGGCGGGGUAAAGGCCCACCAAGGCGACGAUCCGUAGCUGGUCUGAGAGGAUGAUCAGCCACACUGGAACUGAGACACGGUCCAGACUCCUACGGGAGGCAGCAGUGGGGAAUAUUGGACAAUGGGCGCAAGCCUGAUCCAGCCAUACCGCGUGGGUGAAGAAGGCCUUCGGGUUGUAAAGCCCUUUUGUUGGGAAAGAAAAGCAGCAGGUUAAUACCCCGCUGUUCUGACGGUACCCAAAGAAUAAGCACCGGCUAACUUCGUG